rnacentral:rRNA from 1 species
CCCGACUGCUAUUUGGGUGAGAAUAAGCCAUGCGAGUUGAAUGGGAUACCUAAAGUUCCCAUAGCAAACUGCUCAGUAACACAUGAUCAACUUACCCUAUAGAGAAAAAUAACCUCGGGAAACUGAGGAUAAUGUUUCAUAAUUGAAUUGGCUUGGAAAAGUUUUUCAAUGAAAAGGAUAAAAAAAAUGGUUUUUAUCUGCUAUAGGAUAGGAUCGUGUUCGAUUAUGGUUGUUGGUGAGAUAAUGGCUCACCAAGCCGAUAAUCGAUAGGGGCCGUGAGAGCGGGAGCCCCGAGAUGGGUACUGAGACAACGACCCAGGCCUUACGAGGCGCAGCAGGCGCGGAACCUCCGCAAUACACGAAAGUGUGACGGGGUUACCCAAAGUGUUCAAUUUGAACUGUGGUAGGUGAGUAAUGUCCCCUACUAGAAAGGAGAGGGCAAGGCUGGUGCCAGCCGCCGCGGUAAAACCAGCUCUUCAAGUGGUCGGGAUAAUUAUUGGGCUUAAAGUGUCCGUAGCCGGUUUAGUAAGUUCCUGGUAAAAUCGGGUAGCUUAACUAUCUGCAUGCUAGGAAUACUGCUAUACUAGAGGGCGGGAGAGGUCUGAGGUACUGCAGGGGUAGGGGUGAAAUCUUAUAAUCCUUGUAGGACCACCAGUGGCGAAGGCGUCAGACUGGAACGCGCCUGACGGUGAGGGACGAAAGCCAGGGGAGCGAACCGGAUUAGAUACCCGGGUAGUCCUGGCCGUAAACGAUGCAUACUAGGUGAUGGUACGGCCAUGAGCCGUAUCAGUGCCGUAGGGAAACCGUUAAGUGUGCCGCCUGGGAAGUACGGUCGCAAGGCUAAAACU